UACGUAGGCAGCGAGCGUUGUUCGGAGUUACUGGGCGUAAAGCGUGCGUAGGCGGUGUCUUAAGUUUGUUGUGAAAUCUCCCGGCUUAACCGGGAGGGUGCGGCGAAUACUGAGAUGCUGGAGUGCCGGAGAGGUAAGCGGAAUUCCUGGUGUAGCGGUGAAUGCGUAGAUAUCAGGAGGAACACCUGCGGUGUAGACGGCUUACUGGACGGUAACUUGACGCUGAGGCACGAAAGCGUGGGUAGCAAACAGG
rnacentral:rRNA from 1 species